rnacentral:lncRNA from 12 species
GAUCUUGUUUGCGAGAUUCAGGAAGAAAUGGGCAACCCUAGUCCAGAAAUAUCAACUUCUGGCCCCCCUUCUGACCAUUGGCGAAAGUCCACUUCUGGCCACACACGGGUACAAGGUACAGAUGACCCAGAUCAAGAAUUUUGCUCGGACUGCAGAAGAGGAAACGUGCUGGACACACCAAGAACAUCACCUUCUGUCCUCAAAAGGCAGACCAGGCAAGGCCGCUUCUGGCCCCGCAAUAGGGUCAAUCCUGCAGCGGACACAGAGGAAGAGGGCCCACUGGAGGUUUCUCCUGAUGGCGGGGCAGAGGAAGGGGCCCCAUAUCUCCCCAAGGUGGAUGCAGGAGGAAAGGAGAGCUUUCCCACUGAGGACCUGAUAGCCGAUCUUCCUCCUGCCACCGAAGAGGAAGAAGCCCCAAAAGUCUCUGAGGUGAAUGCAGGCAGGAAGGAAAAUGAUCCUUUCUUUAUCAAGAUCCAUUUUCCGUGUCAGAAUAUAAGGAUGGAAGAAGGUGAGGACUUCUUGUAUGCACAGCCACCUUAA